rnacentral:rRNA from 1 species
AGUCGAGCGGUAGCACAGAGAGCUUGCUCUCGGGUGACGAGCGGCGGACGGGUGAGUAAUGUCUGGGAAACUGCCUGAUGGAGGGGGAUAACUACUGGAAACGGUAGCUAAUACCGCAUAAGGUCGCAAGACCAAAGUGGGGGACCUUCGGGCCUCAUGCCAUCAGAUGUGCCCAGAUGGGAUUAGCUAGUAGGUGGGGUAACGGCUCACCUAGGCGACGAUCCCUAGCUGGUCUGAGAGGAUGACCAGCCACACUGGAACUGAGACACGGUCCAGACUCCUACGGGAGGCAGCAGUGGGGAAUAUUGCACAAUGGGCGCAAGCCUGAUGCAGCCAUGCCGCGUGUGUGAAGAAGGCCUUCGGGUUGUAAAGCACUUUCAGCGGGGAGGAAGGCGGUGAGGUUAAUAACCUUGUCGAUUGACGUUACCCGCAGAAGAAGCACCGGCUAACUCCGUGCCAGCAGCCGCGGUAAUACGGAGGGUGCAAGCGUUAAUCGGAAUUACUGGGCGUAAAGCGCACGCAGGCGGUCUGUCAAGUCGGAUGUGAAAUCCCCGGGCUCAACCUGGGAACUGCAUUCGAAACUGGCAGGCUAGAGUCUUGUAGAGGGGGGUAGAAUUCCAGGUGUAGCGGUGAAAUGCGUAGAGAUCUGGAGGAAUACCGGUGGCGAAGGCGGCCCCCUGGACAAAGACUGACGCUCAGGUGCGAAAGCGUGGGGAGCAAACAGGAUUAGAUACCCUGGUAGUCCACGCCGUAAACGAUGUCGAUUUGGAGGUUGUGCCCUUGAGGCGUGGCUUCCGGAGCUAACGCGUUAAAUCGACCGCCUGGGGAGUACGGCCGCAAGGUUAAAACUCAAAUGAAUUGACGGGGGCCCCGCACAAGCGGUGGAGCAUGUGGUUUAAUUCGAUGCAACGCGAAGAACCUUACCUGGUCUUGACAUCCACAGAACUUUCCAGAGAUGGAUUGGUGCCUUCGGGAACUGUGAGACAGGUGCUGCAUGGCUGUCGUCAGCUCGUGUUGUGAAAUGUUGGGUUAAGUCCCGCAACGAGCGCAACCCUUAUCCUUUGUUGCCAGCGGUUCGGCCGGGAACUCAAAGGAGACUGCCAGUGAUAAACUGGAGGAAGGUGGGGAUGACGUCAAGUCAUCAUGGCCCUUACGACCAGGGCUACACACGUGCUACAAUGGCAUAUACAAAGAGAAGCGACCUCGCGAGAGCAAGCGGACCUCAUAAAGUAUGUCGUAGUCCGGAUUGGAGUCUGCAACUCGACUCCAUGAAGUCGGAAUCGCUAGUAAUCGUAGAUCAGAAUGCUACGGUGAAUACGUUCCCGGGCCUUGUACACACCGCCCGUCACACCAUAGGGGUGGGUUGCAAAAGAAGUAGGUA